GUGAGGAAUAUUGGACAAUGGGCGCAAGCCUGAUCCAGCCAUGCCGCGUGCAGGAAGACGCAUCUAUGGUGUGUAAACUGCUUUUGUACGGGAAGAAACACUCCCUCGUGAGGGAGCUUGACGGUACCGUAAGAAUAAGGAUCGGCUAACUCCGUGCCAGCAGCCGCGGUAAUACGGAGGAUCCAAGCGUUCUCCGGAAUCAUUGGGUUUAAAGGGUCCGUAGGCGGUUUAAUAAGUCAGUGGUGAAAGCCCAUCGCUCAACGAUGGAACGGCCAUUGAUACUGUUAGACUUGAAGUACAAGGAAGUAACUAGAAUAUGUAGUGUAGCGGUGAAAUGCUUAGAUAUUACAUGGAAUACCAAUUGCGAAGGCAGGUUACUACUUGUGGAUUGACGCUGAUGGACGAAAGCGUGGGGAGCGAACAGGAUUAGAAACCCUUGUAGUCC
rnacentral:rRNA from 1 species